UACGGGGGGGGCAAGCGUUGUUCGGAAUUACUGGGCGUAAAGGGCGCGUAGGCGGCCUUUUAAGUCGGACGUGAAAUCCCUCGGCUUAACCGAGGAACUGCGUCCGAGACUGAAAGGCUUGAAUCCGGGAGAGGGAGGUGGAAUUCCAGGUGUAGCGGUGAAAUGCGUAGAUAUCUGGAGGAACACCGGUGGCGAAAGCGGCUACCUGGCCCAUUCUUGACGCUGAGGCGCGAAAGCUAGGGGAGCAAACGGG
rnacentral:rRNA from 1 species